UUCCAGAAUUUUCGAUCCUGAUGGUAAAUUUAUUUCUCUUAUGUCAACCGUCUUAACUGGUUCGAGAUUCCAUUUUUACAGAAAUCUGAAAAAGUGUCGCCUACACGUGUUCGAACCUGAAGGUGUGGUCCAUAAAAGAGAUUUAGAUAAGUUUUGCAAAGCUGUCAUCUUUUUUAAUUGAGCAGUGAAUCUGGCAUUGUUGUAAUCUUCUUACUCUGAUUCUAUUGAAAACCAUUUCUUAUACAGAUGUUCUUCGCACCAACACGAGAGAAUUGGUAUGACAGCUACACGAGUUUAUGUAUUCUUAUCUCUUGAAAGUUUACUUCAACAAGCAUAUUUGAUCUUAAUGAUACAAUAGAUAAAUGGUGUACCAAAUAAAAGUCUUAUAGCAGUUGGCGAGACAAAUCUUAUCUUGAAAAAGACUAUUCACCAUGUUUCUACAAUGCUGAAGAGGGUACCCCUUAAGCCGAGAAAAAAACUAUAAUCUCCUGAUUCCCACGUUAAUGGACAGAUGAACUGGUCAAUGGAACAUAGCCAUCUUGAGCCUAAGACUGAGCUUUGAUAGAGGAACGAAAGGUGGUUCAAAGAAGUCUGCUGAAAAUGGGUUUAUGACAGGAGGUGGCUGUAAUAGCUCGAGCAACAGAGUAGGAAGACAAACCUGGUCCAAGCUGUUGAGUAGAAGUUGUAAUGCGGCUCUGGAGACAAAUCAGUGUUGGGUAGAUAAGGAAUGUCUUAAACACCUGAAAAGAAGUAAGUCACAAGAUUCAUACACCACAGAAGAAGUAAGACACAAGAGUUGGAAGUGGCGACGACAAUGUACGAAGGAAACUAAAAGAAUAUUUGUAAUGGGAAGAUUAAAAAAGUUUCUACGGUUUGUGUGUUCCUGAGGAUUCAGUUUGGUGUGUUUUGUUUUCAUUGCCAAAAUGGUGUGCUUAGUAAAAUACAAAUAUAGAGAUGGAACGAUAAUUUCAAAUUAAAAUUAGUUAUUCAAAGCUUA